rnacentral:rRNA from 1 species
CACGUAGGGCGCAAGCGUUGUCCGGAAUUAUUGGGCGUAAAGAGCUCGUAGCGGUCUGUUGCGUCCGCUGUGAAAACUCGGGGCUUAACCCCGAGCCUGCAGUGGAUACGGGCAGACUAGAGGUAGGUAGGGGAGAAUGGAAUUCCCGGUGUAGCGGUGAAAUGCGCAGAUAUCGGGAGGAACACCGGUGGCGAAGGCGGUUCUCUGGGCCU